GCGCAAGACUGUGUUUGGCCUGCUGAACCAAGCGCAAAUAAUUGCCUGAGGCUUUUGGUCCGGGACUUAGCGUGCUUGUCUGACAGCUUUCAGAUGAAUCAUGAGACUGUCUCAAAGCUUCGGUGACAGUGCUGACCUGUACUACAGACAAGGAAUUUGUCCUGUUCAGCCUCACGGGGUGACAACGGCUGCUUCUGUGUUAAAUUCAUACUUUGAGCUGAAUUCACGUGGGCAAUCAGUACAAAUGACUUUUGAUUUGAGAUUCUUACACGGGAAAACACCAGCACCAAACAGAAUUAGAGAUUUUGAAAUCAUCUCAUCCUAUUCAGAAGUAAAUGAUCAUUUCAAAUACUGCAUCUAG
rnacentral:lncRNA from 1 species